rnacentral:rRNA from 1 species
UGGGGAAUUUUGGACAAUGGGCGAAAGCCUGAUCCAGCAAUGCCGCGUGUGUGAAGAAGGCCUUCGGGUUGUAAAGCACUUUUGUCCGGAAAGAGAUCCUUGGCUCUAAUACAGUCGGGGGAUGACGGUACCGGAAGAAUAAGCACCGGCUAACUACGUGCCAGCAGCCGCGGUAAUACGUAGGGUGCAAGCGUUAAUCGGAAUUACUGGGCGUAAAGCGUGCGCAGGCGGUUUGCUAAGACCGAUGUGAAAUCCCCGGGCUCAACCUGGGAACUGCAUUGGUGACUGGCAGGCUAGAGUAUGGCAGAGGGGGGUAGAAUUCCACGUGUAGCAGUGAAAUGCGUAGAGAUGUGGAGGAAUACCGAUGCGAAGGCAGCCCCCUGGGCCAAUACUGACGCUCAUGCACGAAAAGCGUGGGGAGCAAAACAGGAUUUAGAUACCCCUGGUAGUCCACGCCCCUAAAACGAUGUCAACUAGUUUGUUUGGGGGAUUCAUUUCCUUAGUAACGUAGCUAACGCGUGAAGUUGACCGCCUGGGGAGUACGGUCGCAAGAUUAAAACUC